UACACGCUGCCCUCCAGAUGGUGAUACCAAUCUAUUAAUCAGAGAGCACAGCCCUGGGAUUUUUAAUGCAACAGCUGUAACAGUUCAUCUGUGCCGUGGAACUACAAGUGCCACAGUGCCCUGCUAGGAAUAGUAGUGGAAGUAAAUCCACAGGCUGCCUACGCCUACACCGUGCGGUGAUGAAGCCACUGUGGGCCUGGGGUGUAGCUUAAUGCACACAGCCUGCUGUAUGUACUAUGCGUGUGUGUACUCACCGCCAUCAGCUCGCUACUAAACCCGGUAACUACGUAACCUAGCAACGGGACGCACACUAGCCGCCUACGGAAACUCCAAUGGUACAAAGUUGUCAGCUGCCCCAUUCGCGUUUGCUUUGCUACUGUGUGGGCUGUGUGUAGGUUUCACGAGAAGGAGCCGGUGCUUUCAUCGUCACGGUCACACAUACAACAAGCAUAACACCCAGCGCAUGAAACCCCUGGCAAUGAGCAUGACACCCUGAGCAUGAAAACCCCUGGCACCGUGUAUGGAACCAAGAGCAUGAAACCCCUGGCACCGUGUAUGGAACCAAGAGCAUGAAACCCCUGGCAACGAGCAGUCCCAGAAGCAGAUGUCCGACUUCCAAACAUCAGAGCCACUGCUGCAGCUAAAAAACGACACUACUGGAGCUUGGAACAGCAGCCGGUUCAUCACAGAAAGCUGACCAUUGACACUGACUAUGGGGCCGAUUCAGGUUGGAUCGCUGAAGUGCGGAAAUCACUAAUUGACAAUUUCUGCACAUUUGCGCAGACGCGCUUUGCCAUUAUGCAAGGACUUAGAUUGCGAUCGCACGUGAUUGCAAUGUAAGUCCUGGCGGAGCAGCGGCGCUGCGUUUGGGGGGGCACGGUUCAGACAAUGGAGACGUGUCUGAACCAUGUGUGGGGCAGGACGCGCAGCUGCAUGACAUCACUCGCAGCCGCUGCAACCCAAAACAUGGCGUCCCGGCGACUGCUUCACGGCUAGUCUGCGCAGGCAGGCGGCUACCCUAAAGAUGCAAGCGCUUUGCUGUUUAGCGAAGCAUUCACAUUUUAGCAGGUGGGGUGGACUUGGUAUGCGGGGUGGCCUUGCCCUGUGCUGGGCAGCCCCCUGCAUGCUAGAGAAAGAAGUUGUAGUUUUGCGAUUUUUGCAAAACUGCAACUCAAGCUGAAUUAGGCCCUAUAUGGGCAUAAUUGCUGGCUUUCCUGAAUAAAUUGUUCUGAAAUAUUGGACAUGCCCUAAAUGUAACAACGGCAGUUUGCAGAAACCAUGUAAAAAUGUGUCUCUGGUAUUUGUCCCACCACCCCCUUUCCCCAAGGUUAAAAGAUUUGAAGUUUAAAUAAAGGCCUUUACCUUA